UGGGGAAUAUUGCGCAAUGGGCGAAAGCCUGACGCAGCGACGCCGCGUGAGGGAUGAAGGUCUUCGGAUCGUAAACCUCUGUCAGCAGGGAAGAACGGUCACUGUGCUAAUCAGCAGUGAAUUGACGGUACCUNCAAGGAA
rnacentral:rRNA from 1 species